rnacentral:rRNA from 1 species
UGGGGAAUAUUGGACAAUGGGGGGAACCCUGAUCCAGCCAUGCCGCGUGUGUGAAGAAGGCCUUAUGGUUGUAAAGCACUUUAAGCGAGGAGGAGGGUACUGGUAUUAAUACUACCAGCUACUGGACGUUACUCGCAGAAUAAGCACCGGCUAACUCUGUGCCAGCAGCCGCGGUAAUACAGAGGGUGCGAGCGUUAAUCGGAUUUACUGGGCGUAAAGCGUGCGUAGGCGGCUAAUUGAGUCGGAUGUGAAAUCCCCGAGCUUAACUUGGGAAUUGCAUUCGAUACUGGUUAGCUAGAGUGUGGGAGAGGAUGGUAGAAUUCCAGGUGUAGCGGUGAAAUGCGUAGUGAUCUGGAGGAAUACCGAUGGCGAAGGCAGCUAUCUGGCCUAACACUGACGCUGAGGUACGAAAGCAUGGGGAGCAAACAGG